rnacentral:tRNA from 1 species
GCUCCAGUGGCACAAUCGGUCAGCGCGCGGUACUUAUAAUGCCGAGGUUGUGAGUUCUAGCCUCACCUGGAGCA